rnacentral:tRNA from 1 species
GGGUUGUGGCUCAGUGGUACAGUGCUCGCCUAGCAUGCAUGAGGCACACUGGGUUUGAUCCUCAGCACCCA